rnacentral:rRNA from 1 species
UACGGGAGGCAGCAGUGGGGAAUAUUGCACAAUGGGCGCAAGCCUGAUGCAGCCAUGCCGCGUGUAUUGAAGAAGGACCUUCGGGUUGUAAAGUACUUUCAGCAGUGAGGAAGGUGGAUAUGUUAAUAGCAUAUUCAUUUGACGUUUAGCUGCAGAAGAAGCACCGGCUAACUCCGUGCCAGCAGCCGCGGUAAUACGGAGGGUGCGAGCGUUAAUCGGAAUUACUGGGCGUAAAGCGCAUGCAGGUGGUUUGUUAAGUCAGAUGUGAAAGCCCGGGGCUCAACCUCGGAAUUGCAUUUGAAACUGGCAAACUAGAGUACUGUAGAGGGGGUAGAAUUUCAGGUGUAGCGGUGAAAUGCGUAGAGAUCUGAAGGAAUACCGGUGGCGAAGGCGGCCCCCUGGACAGAUACUGACACUCAGAUGCGAAAGCGUGGGGAGCAAACAGGAUUAGAUACCCUGGUAG